CAGUCGCCGCGGGAAUACGGAGGGUGCAAGCGUUAAUCGGAAUUACUGGGCGUAAAGCGUGCGUAGGCGGUUCGUUAAGUCUGUUGUGAAAGCCCCGGGCUCAACCUGGGAAUGGCAAUGGAUACUGGCGAGCUAGAGUGUGUCAGAGGAUGGUGGAAUUCCCGGUGUAGCGGUGAAAUGCGUAGAGAUCGGGAGGAACAUCAGUGGCGAAGGCGGCCAUCUGGGACAACACUGACGCUGAGGCACGAAAGCGUGGGGAGCAAACAGGAUUAGAUACCCCAGUAGUCCCUGUCUCUUAUAA
rnacentral:rRNA from 1 species